UGCUCCUAGAUUUGAAGCAAGGGUCCCGUC
rnacentral:piRNA from 1 species